AACGAACGCUGGCGGCAUGCCUAACACAUGCAAGUCGAACGAGACCUUCGGGUCUAGUGGCGCACGGGUGCGUAACGCGUGGGAACCUGCCCUUAGGUUCGGAAUAACUCCCCGAAAGGGGUGCUAAUACCGGAUAAUGUCUUCGGACCAAAGAUUUAUCGCCUUUGGAUGGGCCCGCGUUGGAUUAGCUAGUUGGUAGGGUAAAAGCCUACCAAGGCGACGUUCCAUAGCUGGUCUGAGAGGAUGAUCAGCCACACUGGGACUGAGACACGGCCCAGACUCCUACGGGAGGCAGCGGUGGGGAAUAUUGGACAAUGGGCGAAAGCCUGCUCCAGCAAUGCCGCGUGAGUGAUCAAGGCCUUAGGGUUGUAAAGCUCUUUUGACCGGGAUGAUAAUGACAGUACCGGGAGAAUAAGCUCCGGCUAACUCCGUG
rnacentral:rRNA from 1 species